UGCGCGCGAACGCCUGCG
rnacentral:misc_RNA from 1 species